UCACAUAUCUAGUUUCAGAGGCAAUAUUUGAAUCCAGACUCUUAGACUUAGGAGCUGCCUAUUUCAUUGAGAACACUGGUUCUAGAGUUAGGGAACUUAGAUUCAAGUCUCAUCUCCUAUGGAUGAGUUAUUCAAUAUUUACAAGAUGAAGGAACUGAAUUAGAUGAUCCCUGAAGUAACUUCACCCUAUAAAUCUGUGAACUUAUGACUAAAGCCAAUAAGUUCUUCACUACACAUUGCAGCCUCCCCAAUAUACUUUUGGAUCAUCACCAUCAUUAUUAAACAUUUAAGGAGAACUACAAAAGUUGAAAGAAAACUAAUGAGUUCCUAAACUGAUGAUAGUACUUGGACAUGUGUUAUCACUCUAUCCAUUUUUCAAAGCAACUCAUUUCAAUCAACAUUUAUUGUUUAUAUCUUCUGUGCAGGAAGCUGUGCCCUGAACUGGAGAUACAAGAGAGAAAAGCAAACCAUUUUAGCCAGCAAGAACAUGAUCAUCCUCUCAAGGUAUAAAUUUGGAGGAUCAAAUAUUUCAGACCCUUUUCAUUAAAGAAGGUGCCCACUAAUUCCUUCCACAAUCUACAAAGUAAAAUAUAUAGGAAGGAUUUUUUUUCUCCAAAGUGUAACCUGAUCAGACAGCUAUUUAUUGUUUGCACCAGUCAGUCUUUUUUUGAGUGUGUUAUUUAUUUGAGAGAAAUGUUUUCCUUUUCAAGCCAUGGGCCAGGCCAUUUGUUUUCUCACUUGGUGUUCUUUUUGCCUCAAGUCGUCCCUAACGACUGCCAUCUUUUAGAUUAUUCUCCUUAAGAAGCAUGACUUCCUCCUCCCCUCUACUGUCGUCAUGAUCACCACCAUCACCAAACACCAGCAUGUAGCACAGAUUGCGGCCUAAGUUCUUGGAGAGAAGCCAGUGCAUUUGUCAGGAAUUGAAAAGUUUUGGAGCUGGUUCGCAGAGUUUCUGGUACACAAAGUGUUGGCUUGGAAGCAUGAAAUAACCAACUUCUGUCUCAAGUGAAAGAGAAGAAAUGAUGUCUGCUCUUCAUCUAGGAAAGGAAAAUCUGGACAAAAACAGGUGAUCUGGUAUGCAAAGAGAAAGAGAGAGAUUGAGAGAGAGAAAGGACUGCCUGGCCAGCGGCUCUGGAAUGCCUAAAGGAUAAUUUCAGCUAUACUUCCGGUCCAGAGCCAUGUUGCAGAUUAAACCUCAUCAGAUUACUUUCAGAAGCUAAACGGCAGGGUAUAGAAAUGUGUCCCCAGGAGAUGUAGUGGAUGUAGGGGUGGGAAACUUCCAUCUACUGCUAUUGCAGAAGGUAAGCCAAAUUUUCUCAUCCUUGCAUAGAUCCAUGAAGGGCUUGCUUGAGUGGGUUUAUUACUGUGGCCUAAGAUUCAGGAGACUGGGUUAAUUGUUUUUGUUAAGAUUGUUUCAUCAAAAUUCAAAGAAUAUGAAAAGGUAAUAUACCACAUGUGUGUUUUUUUUCUUUUUUGUGAAUCUAAUAAUAAUCCACAAGCACAAAUAUUUCUAUGUGCCAAGAAAAACAAUAGAGAAUUG